rnacentral:rRNA from 1 species
GACGAACGCUGGCGGCGUGCCUAAUACAUGCAAGUCGAACGCAGUGGGGACGGGUGAGUAACACGUGGGUAACCUCCCAUCAGAGGGGAUAACACUUGGAAACAGGUGCUAAACCGAUACUGAUGGAUGGACCCGCGGUGCAUUAGCUAGUGGGUGCGGUAACUGCGCACCAAGGCAACGAUGCAUAGCCGACCGUCAAGGGUGAUCGUCCGCACUGGGACUUGGACACGGCCCAGACUCAUACGGUAGGCAGGAGUCGGGAAUCUUCGGCGAUGGACGAAAGGCUGACCGAGCAGCGCCGCGGGAGUGAAGAAGGUUUUCGGAUCGUAAACCUCUGUUGUUAGAGAAGCGGUAUCUAACCAGAAAGCCACGGCUAACUACGUGCCAGCAGCCGCGGUAAUUC